AGUGAACGCUGGCGGCAGGCCUAAUACAUGCAAGUCGAACGGCAGCACAGUGGAGCUUGCUCCAUGGGUGGCGAGUGGCGGACGGGUGAGGAAUACAUGGGAAUCUGCCCAGUCGUGGGGAUAACGUAUGGAAACGUACGCUAAUACCGCAUGCGCCCUUCGGGGGAAAGUCGGGGGACCGCAAGGCCUGACGCGAUUGGAUGAGCCCAUGUUCGAUUAGCUAGUUGGCGGGUAACGGCCCACCAAGGCGACGAUCGAUAGCUGGUCUGAGAGGAUGAUCAGCCACACUGGAACUGAGACACGGUCCAGACUCCUACGGGAGGCAGCAGUAGGGAAUAUUGGACAAUGGGCGCAAGCCUGAUCCAGCCAUGCCGCGUGAGUGAAGAAGGCCCUCGGGUUGUAAAGCUCUUUGUUGGGGAAGAAAAGCAGUU
rnacentral:rRNA from 1 species